rnacentral:rRNA from 1 species
GACGAACGCUGGCGGCGUGCUUAACACAUGCAAGUCGAACGGAAAGGCCCUUCGGGGUACUCGAGUGUCGAACGGGUGAGUAACACGUGGGUGAUCUGCCCUGCACUUUGGGAUAAGCCUGGGAAACUGGGUCUAAUACCGAAUAGGACCACGCGCUUCGUGGUUUGUGGUUGAAAGCUUUUGCGGUGUGUGAUGGGCCCGCGGCCUAUCAGCUUGUUGGUGGGGUAAUGGCCUACCAAGGCGACGACGGGUAGCCGGCCUGAGAGGGUGACCGGCCACACUGGGACUGAGCUACGGCCCAGACUACUACGGGAGGCAGCAGUGGGGAAUAUUGCACAAUGGGCGCAAGCCUGAUGCAGCGACGCCGCGUGAGGGAUGAAGGCCUUCGGGUUGUAAACCUCUUUCCAUAGGGACGAAGCGCAAGUGACGGUACCUAUAGAAGAAGCACCGGCCAACUACGUG